CCAUGAGUAAAGUGGCGCACGGGUGAGUAACACGUGACUAACCUACCCUGGAGUGGGGAAUAACUGAGGGAAACCUUAGCUAAUACCGCAUAACACCUACGGGUCAAAGGAGCAAUUCGCUUCAGGAGGGGGUCGCGGCAGAUUAGCUAGUUGGCGGGGUAAUGGUCCACCAAGGCAGUGAUCUGUAUCCGGCCUGAGAGGGCGCACGGACACACUGGAACUGAAACACGGUCCAG
rnacentral:rRNA from 1 species